rnacentral:siRNA from 1 species
CGCAUCAUUCGUUGAUAAUGCA